GACACAGUUGCUGGAUUGUAUAGUAAGAGUAUAUUUGUUUUGUAGGAAGCUGCCAAACUAUCUUCCAAAGUGACCAUACUGAUUUGCAUUCCCACUAGCAGU
rnacentral:pre_miRNA from 1 species